rnacentral:rRNA from 1 species
GUACCAUGCAGUCGAGCGGCAGCGGGAAAGUAGCUUGCUACUUUUGCCGGCGAGCGGCGGACGGGUGAGUAAUGCCUGGGAAAUUGCCCAGUCGAGGGGGAUAACAGUUGGAAACGACUGCUAAUACCGCAUACGCCCUACGGGGGAAAGCAGGGGACCUUCGGGCCUUGCGCGAUUGGAUAUGCCCAGGUGGGAUUAGCUUGUUGAUGANGUAAUGGCUCACCAAGGCGACGAUCCCUAACUGGUCUGAGAGGAUGAUCAGCCACGCUGGAACUGAGACACGGUCCAGACUCCUACGGGAGGCAGCAGUGGGGAAUAUUGCACAAUGGGGGAAACCCUGAUGCAGCCAUGCCGCGUGUGUGAAGAAGGCCUUCGGGUUGUAAAGCACUUUCAGCGAGGAGGAAAGGUUGAUGCCUAAUACGCAUCAGCUGUGACGUUACUCGCAGAAGAAGCACCGGCUAACUCCGUGCCAGCAGCCGCGGUAAUACGGAGGGUGCAAGCGUUAAUCGGAAUUACUGGACGUACAGCGCACGCAGGCGGUUGGAUAAGUUAGAUGUGACAGCCCCGGGCUCAACCUGGGAAUUGCAUUUAAAACUGUCCAGCUAGAGUCUUGUAGAGGGGGGUAGAAUUCCAGGUGUAGCGGUGAAUGCGU